rnacentral:rRNA from 1 species
GGGUAUAUGUCUUCGGAUAUAGAGACCGGCGCACGGGUGCGUAACGCGUAUGCAAUCUACCUUUUACAGAGGGAUAGCCCAGAGAAAUUUGGAUUAAUACCUCAUAGUAUAGUGACUCGGCAUCGAGAUACUAUUAAAGUCACAACGGUAAAAGAUGAGCAUGCGUCCCAUUAGCUAGUUGGUAAGGUAACGGCUUACCAAGGCUACGAUGGGUAGGGGUCCUGAGAGGGAGAUCCCCCACACUGGUACUGAGACACGGACCAGACUCCUACGGGAGGCAGCAGUGAGGAAUAUUGGACAAUGGGCGCAAGCCUGAUCCAGCCAUGCCGCGUGCAGGAUGACGGUCCUAUGGAUUGUAAACUGCUUUUGUACGAGAAGAAACACUCCUUCGUGAAGGAGCUUGACGGUAUCGUAAGAAUAAGGAUCGGCUAACUCCGUGCCAGCAGCCGCGGUAAUACGGAGGAUCCAAGCGUUAUCCGGAAUCAUUGGGUUUAAAGGGUCCGUAGGCGGUUUAGUAAGUCAGUGGUGAAAGCCCAUCGCUCAACGGUGGGACGGCCAUUGAUACUGCUAAACUUGAAUUAUUAGGAAGUAACUAGAAUAUGUAGUGUAGCGGUGAAAUGCUUAGAGAUUACAUGGAAUACCAAUUGCGAAGGCAGGUUACUACUAAUGGAUUGACGCUGAUGGACGAAAGCGUGGGUAGCGAACAGGAUUAGAUACCCUGGUAGUCCACGCCGUAAACGAUGGAUACUAGCUGUUGGAAGCAAUUUCAGUGGCUAAGCGAAAGUGAUAAGUAUCCCACCUGGGGAGUACGUUCGCAAG